AGUGAACGCUGGCGGUAGGCCUAACACAUGCAAGUCGAACGGCAGCAAAGGAGAGCUUGCUCUCUGGGUGGCGAGUGGCGGACGGGAGAUGAAUACAUCGGAAUCUACUCUGUCGUGGGGGAUAACGGAGGGAAACUAACGCUAAUACCGUAUACGACGUACGUGUGAAAGCAGGGGACAUUCGGGCCUCGCGCGAUGGAAUGAGCAGGUGUCGGAUUAGCUUGUUGGCGGGGUAAAGGCCCACCAAGGCGACGAUCCGUAGCUGGUCUGAGAGGAUGAUCAGCCCCACUGGAACUGAGACACGGUCCAGACUCCUACGGGAGGCAGCAGUGGGGAAUAUUGGACAAUGGGCGCAAGCCUGAUCCAGCCAUACCGCGUGGGUGAAGAAGGCCUUCGGGUUGUAAAGCCCUGUUGUUGGGAAAGAAAUCCAGCCGGCUAAUACCCGGUUGGGAUGACGGUACCCAAAGAAUAAGCACCGGCUAACUUCGUGCCAGCCGCCGCCGUAA
rnacentral:rRNA from 1 species